rnacentral:rRNA from 1 species
CCUACGGGAGGCAGCAGUAGGGAAUCUUCCACAAUGGGCGAAAGCCUGAUGGAGCAACGCCGCGUGGGUGAAGAAGGUCUUCGGAUCGUAAAACCCUGUUGUUAGAGAAGAAAGUGUGGGAGAGUAACUGUUCACGUCUGGACGGUACCGAAGCAGAAAGCCAGGGCUAACUACGUGCAAGCAGCCGCGGUAAUACGUAGGUGGCAAGCGUUAUCCGGAUUUAUUGGGCGGAAAGGGAACGGAGGCGGUCUUUUAAGUCUGAUGUGAAAGCCUUCGGCUUAACCGGGGUAGUGCAUUGGAAACUUGGAGACUUGAGUGCAGCAGAGGUGAGUGGAACUCCAUGUGUAGCGGUGAAAUGCG